GUCUGGCUAGCUUAGUCAGUGGAGCAUGUGACUCUUGAUCUCAGGGUUGUGAGUUUAAGUCCCAAGCUGGGCA
rnacentral:tRNA from 1 species